rnacentral:tRNA from 6 species
AUCCCCAUGAGGCGAAAAGUCCGCCCUUUCACGGCGGUAACAGGGGUUCGAUUCCCCUUGGGCGUACCA